CCCUUAGAUGUUCUGGGCCGCACGCGCGCUACACUGAUGCAUUCAACGAGUCUAAAACCUGGUCUGAUAGGGCUGGGUAAUCUUUUGAAUGUGCAUCGUGAUUGGGAUAGAUGAUUGCAAUUCUUCAUCUUCAACGAGGAAUGCCUAGUAAACGCAAGUCAUCAGCUUGCAUUGAUUACGUCCCUGCCCUUUGUAAACACCGCCCGUCGCUCCUACCGAUUGAAUGUUCCGAUGAAUACCAUGGACUGAGAGUAUGAAUGGGUUCGCCUAUUUCUGCUUCUCGGGAAGUGGAGUAAAUCUUAACAUUUAGAGGAAGGAGAAGUCGUAACA
rnacentral:rRNA from 1 species